UACGAACUGUGCGAACGUUAUUCGGAAUCACUGGGCUUAAAGGGUGCGUAGGCGGCUGCCUAAGUCAGGUGCGAAAUCUCCCGGCUCAACCGGGAAACUGCGCUUGAUACUGGGCGGCUCGAGUGAGGUAGGGGUGUGUGGAACUUCCGGUGGAGCGGUGAAAUGUGUAGAUAUCGGAAGGAACGCCAGCAGCGAAAGCGGCACACUGGGCCUUUUCUGACGCUGAGGCACGAAAGCCAGGGGAGCGAACGGG
rnacentral:rRNA from 1 species